rnacentral:lncRNA from 1 species
CUAUCUUUUUUUCAUAAAUAUUUGAAUGGAAAGAAUCCUUCUUGCCAUUCCCAUUUUCUUUAUUAAUACUUGCAUAUUUCUUACUUAACAAGUAGAGGCUAGCCCUGACUUAAAGAACUAAGGUUGUCCCAACCAGUAAGAUAUACAACACAAUUCGGACCUUAGGGAUUUAGAUGGAUCCAUUCUAAUUUAAAGGACCGAGCUUUAUCAUG